rnacentral:rRNA from 1 species
CAAUAAGCGGAGGAAAAGAAACCAACAGGGAUUACCUCAGUAACGGCGAGUGAAGCGGUAACAGCUCAAAUUUGAAAGCUGGCUCUUUUAGGGUCCGCGUUGUAAUUUGUAGAAGAUGCUUCGGGUGUGGCCCCGGUCUAAGUUCCUUGGAACAGGACGUCAUAGAGGGUGAGAAUCCCGUAUGUGACUGGGUGCCUUCGCUCAUGUGAAGCUCUUUCGACGAGUCGAGUUGUUUGGGAAUGCAGCUCAAAAUGGGUGGUAAAUUUCAUCUAAAGCUAAAUAUUGGCCAGAGACCGAUAGCGCACAAGUAGAGUGAUCGAAAGAUGAAAAGCACUUUGGAAAGAGAGUUAAACAGUACGUGAAAUUGUUGAAAGGGAAGCGCUUGCAACCAGACUUGCGCGCUGAUGAUCAUCCGGGCUUCUGCCCGGUGCACUCGUCUGCGCUCAGGCCAGCAUCGGUUUCGGUGGUGGGAUAAAGGCCUUGGGAAUGUAGCUCCUCUCGGGGAGUGUUAUAGCCCUCGGUGCAAUGCCGCCUACCGGGACCGAGGACCGCGCUUCGGCUAGGAUGCUGGCGUAAUGGUUGUAAGCGACCCGUCUUGAAACACGGACCAAGGAGUCUAACAUCUAUGCGAGUGUUUGGGUGUCAAACCCAUACGCGUAAUGAAAGUGAACGGAGGUGAGAACCCUUAAGGGUGCAUCAUCGACCGGUCCUGAUGUCUUCGGAUGGAUCUGAGUAAGAGCAUAGCUGUUGGGACCCGAAAGAUGGUGAACUAUGCGUGAAUAGGGUGAAGCCAGAGGAAACUCUGGUGGAGGCUCGCAGCGGUUCUGACGUGCAAAUCGAUCGUCAAAUUUGCGUAUA